rnacentral:rRNA from 1 species
GAUAUUUGACAAUGGGGGCAACCCCGAUCCCGCCCUACCGCGUGUGUGAAGAAGGNCUNNGGCUUNUNAAGCACUUUAAGUUGNNNNNGAGGGCUGUAGGUUCGUACCCUGAAGUUUAGACGUUACACACAGAAUAAGCACCGGCUAACUGUGUGCCAGCAGCCGCGGUAAUACAGAGGGUGCAAGCGUUAAUCGGAAUUACUGGGCGUAAAGAUCGCGGAGGUGGUGCAGAAAGAUGGGUGUGAAAUCCCCGGGCUUAACCUGGGAACUGCUUUCAUAACUGCUGGGCGAGAGUACGGUAGAGGGUAGUGGAAGUUCCUGUUUAGCGGUGAAAUGCGUAGAUAUAGGAAGGAACACCAGUGGCGAAGGCGACUACCUGGACUGAUACUGACACUGAGGUGCGAAAGCGUGGGGAGCAAAA